rnacentral:misc_RNA from 1 species
GCUUAUGGCUCUUUCAUAUUUUGGGAGCUUGAAGUAUCUUAGAUUUCAUUAAAAUUUGGGUGAAAAAAAAGGUUGCAAUUUAGUAACCUACAAAUUUAAAAUUUCAUUAUCUGGAGUAAGUGAUACAUGUGCGGUAUCAUUUCUGCUAAAUUAAGCUUUUCCCUAGUAUCUCUGAGUUCUCUGUCAUUCUAAAAGUAAUGCAUUAUUUUGUAUACAUUAGGUUUGCUCAACCUUUAAUGGGUGCAAAGAAAGAGUUUUAAGUUCUUAGUU